GAUGAACGCUGGCGGCGUGCCUAAUACAUGCAAGUCGAGCGAACAGACGAGGAGCUUGCUCCUCUGACGUUAGCGGCGGACGGGUGAGUAACACGUGGAUAACCUACCUAUAAGACUGGGAUAACUUCGGGAAACCGGAGCUAAUACCGGAUAAUAUAUUGAACCGCAUGGUUCAAUAGUGAAAGACGGUUUUGCUGUCACUUAUAGAUGGAUCCGCGCCGCAUUAGCUAGUUGGUAAGGUAACGGCUUACCAAGGCGACGAUGCGUAGCCGACCUGAGAGGGGGAUCGCCCACCUGGGAACGGAGCCCGGGCCAAGACCCCAACGGAAGGCAGAAGUAGGAAAUCUUCCGAAAUGGGCGAAAGCCUGCCGGAGCAACGCCCGGUGAGUGAUGAGGUCCUUCGGUUCGUAAACCUCUGUUAUUAGGGAAAACCAAAUGUGUAGGUAACUAUGCACGUCUUACCGGUACCUAAUAAGAAAGCACCGGCUAACUACUU
rnacentral:rRNA from 1 species